UCUGGCUACGAUCUGCCGGUGUACGGCUUGGACGACGGCAACUUCUACAAUCUUCACGUGGUAGCGCUGGGGAUCAUCGCCUGCAGCCUCGCCUGCGCCGUCACCGUCGUCGUCUGGAGCUUCCGCACGCACAACACCAAGUUCUUCACCUGGUCGCAAGGGGAGCGGAUAGCAGUGUACAUGGCCUUCUGCGACGGCUUGUUCAACAUCUCGCACUGUCUGGACCACCUGCACUACGUCAUCCAGCGCAACCACGUCACGCCGGCCGGGCUCUGCGUCUUCUACGCCAUGUUCCUGGUGGAGUUCAUGACGUCACAGAUCCUGCUCGUCAACAUCACCGCCAUCAACGCCUUCACGCUGGUGUACCGGCGGCGCGCGCUGGACUUCGGCGCCGAC